rnacentral:rRNA from 1 species
GACAGAGGGGGCAAGCGUUGCUCGGAAUUACUGGGCGUAAAGGGUGCGCAGGUGGGUUUGCAAGUUCGAUGUGAAAGCCCCGGGCUUAACCCGGGAAUGGCAUUGGAUACUGCAGAUCUGGAGGAUCGGAGGGGGGACUGGAAUUCUUGGUGUAGCAGUGAAAUGCGUAGAUAUCAGGAGGAACACCAAUGGCGAAGGCAGAUCUCUGGGCCGUAACUGACGCUGAGGAGCGAAAGCGUGGGGAGCGAACAGG